rnacentral:rRNA from 1 species
CCUACGGGGCGCUGCAGUGGGGAAUAUUGGACAAUGGGCGAAAGCCUGAUCCAGCCAUGCCGCGUGUGUGAAGAAGGCCUUCGGGUUGUAAAGCACUUUCAGUGGGGAAGAAAGCCUUGGGGCUAAUACCCUCGAGGAAGGACAUCACCCACAGAAGAAGCACCGGCUAACUCCGUGCCAGCAGCCGCGGUAAUACGGAGGGUGUGAGCGUUAAUCGGAAUUACUGGGCGUAAAGCGCGCGUAGGCGGUCUGAUAAGCCGGUUGUGAAAGCCCCGGGCUCAACCUGGGAACGGCAUCCGGAACUGUCAGGCUAGAGUGCAGGAGAGGAAGGUAGAAUUCCCGGUGUAGCGGUGAAAUGCGUAGAGAUCGGGAGGAAUACCAGUGGCGAAGGCGGCCUUCUGGACUGACACUGACGCUGAGGUGCGAAAGCGUGGGUAGCAAACAGGAUUAGAUACCCGGUAGUC